AAUCAUAGGCUUGGAGAAUGGCA
rnacentral:miRNA from 1 species